rnacentral:rRNA from 1 species
CAAUAGCGUAUAUUAAAGUUGUUGCAGUUAAAAAGCUCGUAGUUGGAUUUCUGGUGGGAGCACGGGUCGGCCCUCACGGGUUGUACUGUUGUUGCGUCCCGCCGUUUCGGAGGGAAUGGUCUCGCUAUUAGGUUAGUGGGGUCGGGAACUCUGUCGUCUACUGUGAAAAAAUUAGAGUGUUCAAAGCAGGCCUUCGCUGUGAAUACAUUAGCAUGGAAUAAUAAGAUAGGACUAUGGUGCUAUUUUGUUGGUUUGCGUACUAUGGUAAUGAUUAAUAGGGAUAGUUGGGGGUAUUCAUAUUCAAUUGUCAGAGGUGAAAUUCUUGGAUUUAUGGAAGAUGAACUACUGCGAAAGCAUUUACCAAGGAUGUUUUCAUUAA